GCGGGGAAGUGAAACAUCUUAGUACCCGUAGGAAGAGAAAACAAGUGUGAUUCCGUGAGUAGUGGCGAGCGAAAGCGGAUGUGGCCAAACCGUGUGUGUGUUCAAGCCGGCAGGUGUUGCAUGUGCGGGGUUGUGGGGGCCUUGUGGUUCUGCUGCCGCAGGAUUGGCCAGUGAGAAAUGUUGCGUGAAGGUGAAGCGUCUGGGAAGGCGUACCGGAGUGGGUGAGAGUCCUGUAACUGUAAGCGUGGCACUGGUGUGGGGUUGCCCCGAGUAGCGUGGAACUCGUGGAAUUUCGCGUGAAUCUGGCGGGACCACCCGUCAAGCCUAAAUACUCCUUGGUGACCGAUAGUGGAUGAGUACCGUGAGGGAAGGGUGAAAAGUACCCCGGGAGGGGAGUGAAAGAGUUCCUGAAACCGGUCGCAUGCAAGCCGUCAGAGCCUGUGUGGUGAUGGCGUGCCUUUUGAAGAAUGAGCCUGCGAGUUAGUGAUGCGUGGCGAGGUUAACCCGUGGUGGGGGAGUCGUAGCGAAAGCGAGUCCGAUAAGGGCGUGAGUCGCGUGUUCUAGACCCGAAGCGGUGUGAUCUAUCCAUGGCCAGGAUGAAGCGUCGGUAAGACGUCGUGGAGGUCCGAACCCACUUCAGUUAAAAAUGGAGGGGAUGAGUUGUGGAUAGGGGUGAAAGGCCAAUCAAACACCGUGAUAGCUGGUUCUCCCCGAAAUGCAUUUAGGUGCAGCGUUGCGUGGUUCUUGUUGGAGGUAGAGCACUGGAUGGUCUAGGGGGCUUAUCGGCUUACCGAAAUCAGCCAAACUCCGAAUGCUGGCAAGUGUAGCGUGGCAGUGAGACGGCGGGGGAUAAGCUUCGUCGUCGAGAGGGAAACAGCCCAGAUCAUCAGCUAAGGCCCCUAAGUGGUGACUCAGUGGGAAAGGAUGUGGAGUUGCGUAGACAACCAGGAGGUUGGCUUGGAAGCAGCCAUCCUUGAAAGAGUGCGUAAUAGCUCACUGGUCAAGUGAUUCCGCGCCGACAAUGUAGCGGGGCUCAAGUUAUCCGCCGAAGCUGUGGCAACUUUUUUAAGUUGGGUAGGGGAGCGUCGUGUUCGUGGUGAAGCAGCCUGGUGAUGGGUUGUGGAGUGGAUGCGAGUGAGAAUGCAGGCAU
rnacentral:rRNA from 1 species